AGGGGCUAAAUUGCCUGCCA
rnacentral:miRNA from 1 species